UAAGGUUAAGUUAAUAAGGGCGCACGGUGGAUGCCUUGGCACUAGAAGCCGAAGAAGGACGUGACUAACGACGAAAUGCUUUGGGGAGCUGUAAGUAAGCGCUGAUCCAGAGAUGUCCGAAUGGGGGAACCCGGCAUGUAAUGCAUGUCAUCCAUGACUGUUAAGGUCAUGAGAAGGAAGACGCAGUGAACUGAAACAUCUAAGUAGCUGCAGGAAGAGAAAGCAAACGCGAUUGCCUUAGUAGCGGCGAGCGAAACGGCAGGAGGGCAAACCGAGGAGUUUACUCCUCGGGGUUGUAGGACUGCGAAGUGGGACAUAAAGUUAAUAGAAGAAUUACCUGGGAAGGUAAGCCAAAGAGAGUAACAGCCUCGUAUUUAAAAUUGACUUUAGCCCUAGCAGUAUCCUGAGUACGGCGAGACACGCGAAAUCUCGUCGGAAUCUGGGAGGACCAUCUCCCAACCCUAAAUACUCUCUAGUGACCGAUAGUGAACCAGUACCGUGAGGGAAAGGUGAAAAGCACCCCGGGAGGGGAGUGAAAUAGAACCUGAAACCGUGUGCCUACAACAAGUUCGAGCCCGUUAAUGGGUGAGAGCGUGCCUUUUGUAGAAUGAACCGGCGAGUUACGAUAUGAUGCGAGGUUAAGUUGAAGAGACGGAGCCGUAGGGAAACCGAGUCUUAAUAGGGCGUCAUAGUAUCAUGUUGUAGACCCGAAACCAUGUGACCUACCCAUGAGCAGGUUGAAGGUGUGGUAAAACGCACUGGAGGACCGAACCAGGGCACGUUGAAAAGUGCUUGGAUGACUUGUGGGUAGCGGAGAAAUUCCAAACGAACUUGGAGAUAGCUGGUUCUCUCCGAAAUAGCUUUAGGGCUAGCGUCGAUGUUAAGUCUCUUGGAGGUAGAGCACUGUUUGGGUGAGGGGUCCAUCCCGGAUUACCAAUCUCAGAUAAACUCCGAAUGCCAAGUAGAUAUAAUCGGCAGUCAGACUGCGAGUGCUAAGAUCCGUAGUCGAAAGGGAAACAGCCCAGACCACCAGCUAAGGUCCCAAAAUAAUUGUUAAGUGGAAAAGGAUGUGGGGUUGCACAGACAACUAGGAUGUUAGCUUAGAAGCAGCUAUUCAUUCAAAGAGUGCGUAAUAGCUCACUAGUCGAGUGACCCUGCGCCGAAAAUGUACCGGGGCUAAAACAAUUUACCGAAGCUGUGGAUCCCUUAGGGGAUGGUAGGAGAGCGUUCUAUGUGUGAAGAAGGUAUACCGUGAGGAGUGCUGGAACGCAUAGAAGUGAGAAUGCCGGUAUGAGUAGCGCAAGACAGGUGAGAAUCCUGUCCACCGUAAGACUAAGGUUUCCAGGGGAAGGCUCGUCCGCCCUGGGUUAGUCGGGACCUAAGGAGAGACCGAAGGGUGUAUCCGAUGGCCAACAGGUUGAUAUUCCUGUACUAGUAUGUAUAGUGAUGGAGGGACGCAGAAGGCUAACUAAAGCGUGCGACUGGAAGUGCACGUCUAAGCAGUGAGGUGUGAGAUGAGUAAAAUGCUUAUCUCUAUAACAUUGAGCUGUGAUGGGGAGCGAAAAUAAGUAGCGAAGUUAGUGAUGUCACACUGCCAAGAAAAGCUUCUAGCGUUUAAAUACAUACUACCCGUACCGCAAACCGACACAGGUAGUCGAGGCGAGUAGCCUCAGGUGAUCGAGAGAACUCUCGUUAAGGAACUCGGCAAAAUGACCCCGUAACUUCGGGAGAAGGGGUGCUGUCAGCGAUGACAGCCGCAGUGAAUAGGCCCAAGCAACUGUUUAUCAAAAACACAGCUCUCUGCUAAAUCGUAAGAUGAUGUAUAGGGGGUGACGCCUGCCCGGUGCUGGAAGGUUAAGAGGAGUGCUUAGCGUAAGCGAAGGUAUGAAUUGAAGCCCCAGUAAACGGCGGCCGUAACUAUAACGGUCCUAAGGUAGCGAAAUUCCUUGUCGGGUAAGUUCCGACCCGCACGAAAGGCGUAAUGAUUUGGGCACUGUCUCAACGAGAGACUCGGUGAAAUUUUAGUACCUGUGAAGAUGCAGGUUACCCGCGACAGGACGGAAAGACCCCAUGGAGCUUUACUGCAGUUUGAUAUUGAGUAUCUGUACCACAUGUACAGGAUAGGUAGGAGCCAUCGAGAACGGGACGCCAGUUUCGUUUGAGGCGUUGUUGGGAUACUACCCUUGUGUUAUGGCUACUCUAACCCAGAUAGGUAAUCCCUAUCGGAGACAGUGUCUGACGGGCAGUUUGACUGGGGCGGUCGCCUCCUAAAAGG
rnacentral:rRNA from 1 species